GACGAACGCUGGCGGCGUGCUUAACACAUGCAAGUCGAACGAUGAACCCGGAGCUUGCUCUGGGGGAUUAGUGGCGAACGGGUGAGUAACACGUGAGUAACCUGCCCUGGACUCUGGGAUAAGCGUUGGAAACGACGUAUAAUACCGGAUAGGACCUUGGAUCGCAUGAUCUGGGGUGGAAAGUUUUUUCGGUCUGGGAUGGACUCGCGGCCUAUCAGCUUGUUGGUGAGGUAAUGGCUCACCAAGGCGUCGACGGGUAGCCGGCCUGAGAGGGUGACCGGCCACACUGGGACUGAGGCACGGCCCAGACUCCUACGGGAGGCAGCAGAGGGGAAUAUUGCACAAUGGGCGAAAGCCUGAUGCAGCAACGCCGCGUGCGGGAUGACGGCCUUCGGGUUGUAAACCGCUUUUAGUAGGGAAGAAGGGCUUCGGCUUGACGGUACCUGCAGAAAAAGGACCGGCUAACUACGUG
rnacentral:rRNA from 1 species